rnacentral:rRNA from 1 species
CUUACAAUGAAGAAGACCUUUUGGCACCCUUGUAAAGGGAUUGAGUAUAUAAAGAGUAAUAAAGUAUGUUAGGUGUACCUUUUGUGUCAGGGGAGUUUAAAAGUUUAGUCAGAAGGUGCUCGAGUUAACUAGAUCUUGGUUUUAGGCGGUAGUUUAAUUUAAGGCUUAUAAAAAUUAAGGGGUGAAAAGUUAUCGUUAGUUUUGGUAUCUAAGUGCUUUAGAUCUGGAGAGGUUAAGCUUUCCGUAGUUUACGGGCGACCUAUAUCAGGAGAACUAGGCUUUAAAUUAGCUGAGUUAAGAUAUUGUUUUUAAGAAUUUUUUAGGUGUUAUAAUGUGUAAAUUUAUUCGGCGAUGAAGUGUAGCUACGGGCUGGGUAAAUAAUGAAAUCAUUGAAUAGGUGGCGUAAUAUUAAAAUAACUCGUGGUUGCUCAGAUAGUUUAGCAAAAACAUUUUUGUCUGUUAAUGAGAGAGUAAGGCCUGCCCGGUGAUAGUAAACGGCUGCGGUAGUUUGACCGUGCGAAGGUAGCAUAAUCAAUUGCUUCUUAAUUGGUAGCUGGAAUGAAAGGUUAAACUGGGUAGCUUGGUUUGUAGGUUGUUUAAGAGAUUUAAGUGAGGGUAAGAAUUCUCUCGUACUCUAGGGGACGAUAAGACCCUAGAAGCUUAAUCUAAAGGUAUUUGGUUGUAAUAAAGUGUAUUUGGUUUUACUGGGGCGGUAGCGGUAAAUGAACUAUUGCUUUUUGGGGGAUCCCCUUUAUAGGGAGAAAGCGGAUUAGUUACUCUAGGGAUAACAGUACAAUAGUUUUGGAGAGAUCUUAUCGAUAAAUAAGCUUGUAACCUCGAUGUU